UUUAUGGAGAGUUUGAUCCUGGCUCAGAGUGAACGCUGGCGGCGUGCCUAAUACAUGCAAGUCGAACGAUGAAGCUUCUAGCUUGCUAGAAGUGGAUUAGUGGCGCACGGGUGAGUAACGCAUAGGUCAUGUGCCUCUUAGUUUGGGAUAGCCAUUGGAAACGAUGAUUAAUACCAGAUACUCCCUACGGGGGAAAGAUUUAUCGCUAAGAGAUCAGCCUAUGUCCUAUCAGCUUGUUGGUAAGGUAAUGGCUUACCAAGGCUAUGACGGGUAUCCGGCCUGAGAGGGUGAACGGACACACUGGAACUGAGACACGGUCCAGACUCCUACGGGAGGCAGCAGUAGGGAAUAUUGCUCAAUGGGGGAAACCCUGAAGCAGCAACGCCGCGUGGAGGAUGAAGGUUUUAGGAUUGUAAACUCCUUUUGUUAGAGAAGAUAAUGACGGUAUCUAACGAAUAAGCACCGGCUAACUCCGUGCCAGCAGCCGCGGUAAUACGGAGGGUGCAAGCGUUACUCGGAAUCACUGGGCGUAAAGAGCGCGUAGGCGGGAUAGUCAGUCAGGUGUGAAAUCCUAUGGCUUAACCAUAGAACUGCAUUUGAAACUACUAUUCUAGAGUGUGGGAGAGGUAGGUGGAAUUCUUGGUGUAGGGGUAAAAUCCGUAGAGAUCAAGAGGAAUACUCAUUGCGAAGGCGACCUGCUGGAACAUUACUGACGCUGAUUGCGCGAAAGCGUGGGGAGCAAACAGGAUUAGAUACCCUGGUAGUCCACGCCCUAAACGAUGGAUGCUAGUUGUUGGAGGGCUUAGUCUCUCCAGUAAUGCAGCUAACGCAUUAAGCAUCCCGCCUGGGGAGUACGGUCGCAAGAUUAAAACUCAAAGGAAUAGACGGGGACCCGCACAAGCGGUGGAGCAUGUGGUUUAAUUCGAAGAUACACGAAGAACCUUACCUAGGCUUGACAUUGAGAGAAUCCGCUAGAAAUAGUGGAGUGUCUAGCUUGCUAGACCUUGAAAACAGGUGCUGCACGGCUGUCGUCAGCUCGUGUCGUGAGAUGUUGGGUUAAGUCCCGCAACGAGCGCAACCCCCUUUCUUAGUUGCUAACAGGUUAUGCUGAGAACUCUAAGGAUACUGCCUCCGUAAGGAGGAGGAAGGUGGGGACGACGUCAAGUCAUCAUGGCCCUUACGCCUAGGGCUACACACGUGCUACAAUGGGGUGCACAAAGAGAAGCAAUACUGCGAAGUGGAGCCAAUCUUCAAAACGCCUCUCAGUUCGGAUUGUAGGCUGCAACUCGCCUGCAUGAAGCUGGAAUCGCUAGUAAUCGCAAAUCAGCCAUGUUGCGGUGAAUACGUUCCCGGGUCUUGUACUCACCGCCCGUCACACCAUGGGAGUUGUGUUUGCCUUAAGUCAGGAUGCUAAAUUAGCUACUGCCCACGGCACACACAGCGACUGGGGUGAAGUCGUAACAAGGUAACCGUAGGUGAACCUGCGGUUGGAUCACCUCCUUU
rnacentral:rRNA from 1 species